rnacentral:rRNA from 1 species
CCUACGGGAGGCAGCAGUGGGGGAUAUUGCACAAUGGGGGGAACCCCGAUGCAGCGACGCCGCGUGAGUGAAGAAGUAAUUCGUUAUGUAAAGCUCUAUCAGCAGGGAAGAAUAAAUGACGGUACCUGAGUAAGAAGCUCCGGCUAACUACGUGCCAGCAGCCGCGGUAAUACGGAGGAGGCGAGCGUUAUCCGGAUUUAUUGGGUUAAAAGGGUGCGUAGGCGGAGGCACAAGUCAGCGGUAAAAUCGCGGGGCUCAACCCCGCUCCGCCGUUGAAACUGUGUCCCUUGAGUGCGCGAAGGGUAGGCGGAAUGCGUGGUGUAGCGGUGAAAUGCAUAGAUAUCACGCAGAACUCCGAUUGCGAAGGCAGCCUACCGGCGCGCAACUGACGCUCAUGCACGAAAGCGUGGGUAUCGAACAGGAUUAGAUACCCCUUUAGUC